rnacentral:rRNA from 1 species
GACGAACGCUGGCGGCGUGCUUAACACAUGCAAGUCGAACGCUGAAGCUCAGCUUUUGUUGGGUGGAUGAGUGGCGAACGGGUGAGUAACACGUGAGUAACCUGCCUCCUUCUUUGGGAUAACGCCCGGAAACGGGUGCUAAUACUGGAUAUUCACUGGUCUUCGCAUGGGGGUUGGUGGAAAGGGGUUUUCUGGUGGGGGAUGGGCUCGCGGCCUAUCAGCUUGUUGGUGGGGUGAUGGCCUACCAAGGCUUUGACGGGUAGCCGGCCUGAGAGGGUGACCGGGCACAUUGGGACGGAGAUACGGCCCAGACUACUACGCGGGGCGGAAGUGGGGAAUAUUGCACAAUGGGCGCAAGCCUGAUGCAGCGACGCCGCGUGAGGGAUGGAGGCCUUCGGGUUGUGAACCUCUGUCGCUCAUGGUCAAGCCGCAACAAUGGUUGUGGUGAGGGUAGUGGGUAAAGAAGCGCCGGCUAACUACGUG